AUUGAACGCUGGCGGCAGGCUUAACACAUGCAAGUCGAGCGAGCGGCGGACGGGUGAGUAAUGUCUGGGAAACUGCCUGUUGGAGGGGGAUAACUACUGGAAAAGGUAGCUAAUACCGCAUACCAUGAGUGGUGCCCAAAUGGGAUUAGCUAGUAGGUGGGGUAAUGGCUAACCUAGGCGGCGAUCCCUAGCCGGUCUGAGAGGAAGACCAGCCACACUGUGACUGAGACACGGUCCAGACUCCUACGGGAGGCAGCAGUGGGGAAUAUUGCACAAUGGGCGCAAGCCUGAUGCAGCCAUGCCGCGUGUGUGAAGAAGGCCUUCGGGUUGUAAAGCACUUUCAGCGAGGAGGCGUUACUCGCAGAAGAAGCACCGGCUAACUCCGUGCCAGCCGCCGCGGUAAUUC
rnacentral:rRNA from 1 species